rnacentral:rRNA from 1 species
CCUACGGGGGGCAGCAGUCGGGAAUAUUGCGCAAUGGAGGAAACUCUGACGCAGUGACGCCGCGUGCAGGAAGAAGGUCUUCGGAUUGUAAACCGCUUUAGACAGGGAAGAAAAUAGCGAGUACUUGUAGAAUAAGCCCCGGCUAACUACGUCCCAGCAGCCGCGGUAAUCCGUAGGGAGCAAGCGUUACCCGGAUUUAUUGGGUGUAAAGGGUGCGUAGACGGAGAAGCAAGUUAGUUGUGAAAGCCCUCGGCUUAACUGAGGAACUGCAACUAAAACUGCUUGCCUUGAGUACUGGAGAGGAAAGUGGAAUUCCUGGUGUAGCGGUGAAAUGCGUAGAUAUUAGGAGGAACACCAGUGGCGAAGGCGACUUUCUGGACAGUAACUGACGUUGAGGCACGAAAGUGUGGGGAGCAAACAGGAUUAGAUACCCUAGUAGUC